UAAGGAGUUGGGGGUGGUGGUGAAGUGUAGUAGUAAGGUGGAGGAGGUGACUUAACUGGUGGUGGAGGGGAGGAGUAGUAGUAAGGUGGAGGAGGUGACUUAACUGGUGGGGGAGGGGAGGAGUAGUAGUAAGGAGGAGGAGGUGACUUAACUGGUGGUGGAGGGGAAGAGUAGUAGUACGGUGGUGGAGGUGACUUAACUGGUGGUGGAGGAGAGGAGUAGUAGUACGGUGGAGGAGGUGACUUAACUGGUGGUGGAGGGGAGGAGUAGUAGUACGGUGGAGGAGGUGACUUAGCAGGUGGUGGUGGGGACUUGUAAUAGUAAGGUGGUGGGGGAGAGGGUGAAGGGGGUGGUGGUGAUUUAUAGUAGUAUGGUGGAGGUGGUGAUGGAGAAGGUGGUGGGGGAGACUUGUAAUAAUAAGGUGGAGGUGGUGAAGGUGAAGGUGGUGGCGGGGAUUUGUAGUAAUAUGGUGGUGGAGGUGAUGGUGAAGGAGGUGGUGGUGAUUUAUAUACAUAUGGUGGUGGUGGAGAUGGUGAUGGAGGUGGUGGCGACUUGUACACAUACGGCGGUGGAGGAGAUGGUGAAGGAGGAGGUGGCGACUUGUAAACGUAUGGAGGUGGUGGAGAUGGUGAAGGAG
rnacentral:lncRNA from 1 species